UGGCUCAGUUGGUAGAGCGUCCGACUUCAGCUCGGGUCAUGAUCUCACGGUUCGUGAGUUCGAGCCCCAC
rnacentral:tRNA from 1 species